UUAAGUUAGAAAGGGCGCACGGUGGAUGCCUUGACACUAGGAGUCGAUGAAGGACGGGACUAACGCCGAUAUGCUUCGGGGAGCUGUAAGUAAGCUUUGAUCCGAAGAUUUCCGAAUGGGGAAACCCACCAUACGUAAUGGUAUGGUAUCCUUAUCUGAAUACAUAGGGUAAGGAAGACAGACCCAGGGAACUGAAACAUCUAAGUACCUGGAGGAAGAGAAAGCAAAUGCGAUUUCCUGAGUAGCGGCGAGCGAAACGGAACAUAGCCCAAACCAAGAGGCUUGCCUCUUGGGGUUGUAGGACAUUCUAUACGGAGUUACAAAGGAACGAGGUAGACGAAGCGACCUGGAAAGGUCCGUCGUAGAGGGUAACAACCCCGUAGUCGAAACUUCGUUCUCUCUUGAAUGUAUCCUGAGUACGGCGGAACACGUGAAAUUCCGUCGGAAUCUGGGAGGACCAUCUCCCAAGGCUAAAUACUCCCUAGUGAUCGAUAGUGAACCAGUACCGUGAGGGAAAGGUGAAAAGCACCCCGGAAGGGGAGUGAAAGAGAUCCUGAAACCGUGUGCCUACAAAUAGUCAGAGCCCGUUAACGGGUGAUGGCGUGCCUUUUGUAGAAUGAACCGGCGAGUUACGAUCCCGUGCGAGGUUAAGCUGAAGAGGCGGAGCCGCAGCGAAAGCGAGUCUGAAUAGGGCGUUUAGUACGUGGUCGUAGACCCGAAACCAGGUGAUCUACCCAUGUCCAGGGUGAAGUUCAGGUAACACUGAAUGGAGGCCCGAACCCACGCACGUUGAAAAGUGCGGGGAUGAGGUGUGGGUAGCGGAGAAAUUCCAAUCGAACCUGGAGAUAGCUGGUUCUCCCCGAAAUAGCUUUAGGGCUAGCCUUAAGUGUAAGAGUCUUGGAGGUAGAGCACUGAUUGGACUAGGGGUCCUCAUCGGAUUACCGAAUUCAGUCAAACUCCGAAUGCCAAUGACUUAUCCUUAGGAGUCAGACUGCGAGUGAUAAGAUCCGUAGUCAAAAGGGAAACAGCCCAGACCGCCAGCUAAGGUCCCAAAGUGUGUAUUAAGUGGAAAAGGAUGUGGAGUUGCUUAGACAACUAGGAUGUUGGCUUAGAAGCAGCCACCAUUUAAAGAGUGCGUAAUAGCUCACUAGUCGAGUGACUCUGCGCCGAAAAUGUACCGGGGCUAAAUACACCACCGAAGCUGCGGAUUGAUACCGAAUGGUAUCAGUGGUAGGGGAGCGUUCUAGGACAGUGAAGUCAGACCGGAAGGACUGGUGGAGUGCUUAGAAGUGAGAAUGCCGGUAUGAGUAGCGAAAGACGGGUGAGAAUCCCGUCCACCGAAUGCCUAAGGUUUCCUGAGGAAGGCUCGUCCGCUCAGGGUUAGUCAGGACCUAAGCCGAGGCCGACAGGCGUAGGCGAUGGACAACAGGUUGAUAUUCCUGUACCACCUCUUUAUCGUUUGAGCAAUGGAGGGACGCAGAAGGAUAGAAGAAGCGUGCGAUUGGUUGUGCACGUCCAAGCAGUUAGGCUGAUAAGUAGGCAAAUCCGCUUAUCGUAAAGGCUGAGCUGUGAUGGGGAAGCUCCUUAUGGAGCGAAGUCUUUGAUUCCCCGCUGCCAAGAAAAGCUUCUAGCGAGAUAAAAGGUGCCUGUACCGCAAACCGACACAGGUAGGCGAGGAGAGAAUCCUAAGGUGUGCGAGAGAACUCUGGUUAAGGAACUCGGCAAAAUGACCCCGUAACUUCGGGAGAAGGGGUGCUUUCUUAACGGAAAGCCGCAGUGAAUAGGCCCAAGCGACUGUUUAGCAAAAACACAGCUCUCUGCGAAGCCGUAAGGCGAAGUAUAGGGGGUGACACCUGCCCGGUGCUGGAAGGUUAAGGAGAGGGGUUAGCGUAAGCGAAGCUCUGAACUGAAGCCCCAGUAAACGGCGGCCGUAACUAUAACGGUCCUAAGGUAGCGAAAUUCCUUGUCGGGUAAGUUCCGACCCGCACGAAAGGUGUAACGAUUUGGGCACUGUCUCAACCAGAGACUCGGUGAAAUUAUAGUACCUGUGAAGAUGCAGGUUACCCGCGACAGGACGGAAAGACCCCGUGGAGCUUUACUGUAGCCUGAUAUUGAAUUUUGGUACAGUUUGUACAGGAUAGGCGGGAGCCAUUGAAACCGGAGCGCUAGCUUCGGUGGAGGCGCUGGUGGGAUACCGCCCUGACUGUAUUGAAAUUCUAACCUACGGGUCUUAUCGACCCGGGAGACAGUGUCAGGUGGGCAGUUUGACUGGGGCGGUCGCCUCCUAAAGUGUAACGGAGGCGCCCAAAGGUUCCCUCAGAAUGGUUGGAAAUCAUUCGUAGAGUGCAAAGGCAUAAGGGAGCUUGACUGCGAGACCUACAAGUCGAGCAGGGACGAAAGUCGGGCUUAGUGAUCCGGUGGUUCCGCAUGGAAGGGCCAUCGCUCAACGGAUAAAAGCUACCCCGGGGAUAACAGGCUUAUCUCCCCCAAGAGUCCACAUCGACGGGGAGGUUUGGCACCUCGAUGUCGGCUCAUCGCAUCCUGGGGCUGUAGUCGGUCCCAAGGGUUGGGCUGUUCGCCCAUUAAAGCGGUACGCGAGCUGGGUUCAGAACGUCGUGAGACAGUUCGGUCCCUAUCCGUCGUGGGCGUAGGAAAUUUGAGAGGAGCUGUCCUUAGUACGAGAGGACCGGGAUGGACGCACCGCUGGUGUACCAGUUGUUCUGCCAAGGGCAUAGCUGGGUAGCUAUGUGCGGAAGGGAUAAGUGCUGAAAGCAUCUAAGCAUGAAGCCCCCCUCAAGAUGAGAUUUCCCAUAGCGUAAGCUAGUAAGAUCCCUGAAAGAUGAUCAGGUUGAUAGGUUCGAGGUGGAAGCAUGGUGACAUGUGGAGCUGACGAAUACUAAUAGAUCGAGGACUUAACCAU
rnacentral:rRNA from 1 species